rnacentral:rRNA from 1 species
AAUGAACGCUGGCGGCAUGCCUAACACAUGCAAGUCGAACGAAGGCUUCGGCCUUAGUGGCGCACGGGUGCGUAACGCGCGGGAAUCUGCCCUUGGGUUCGGAAUAACAGUUAGAAAUGACUGCUAAUACCGGAUGAUGUCGUAAGACCAAAGAUUUAUCGCCCAAGGAUGAGCCCGCGUAGGAUUAGCUAGUUGGUGGGGUAAAGGCCUACCAAGGCGACGAUCCUUAGCUGGUCUGAGAGGAUGAUCAGCCACACUGGGACUGAGACACGGCCCAGACUCCUACGGGAGGCAGCAGUGGGGAAUAUUGGACAAUGGGCGAAAGCCUGAUCCAGCAAUGCCGCGGGAGUGAUGAAGGCCUUAGGGUUGUAAAGCUCUUUUACCCGGGAUGAUAAGGACAGUACCGGGAGAAUAAGCUCCGGCUAACUUCGG